rnacentral:rRNA from 1 species
AUUGAACGCUGGCGGCAGGCCUAACACAUGCAAGUCGAACGAGUGGCGGACGGGUGAGUAAUGUCUGGGAAACUGCCCGAUGGAGGGGGAUAACUACUGGAAACGGUAGCUAAUACCGCAUACCCUCGGAUGUGCCCAGAUGUGAUUAGCUAGUGGGUGGGGUACCGGCUCACCUAGGCGACGAUCACUAGCUGGUCUGAGAGGAUGACCAGCCACACUGGAACGGAGACACGGUCCAGACUCCUACGGGCGGCAGCAGUGGGGAAUAUUGCACAAUGGGCGCAAGCCUGAUGCAGCCAUGCCGCGUGGAUGAAGAAGGCCUUCGGGUGGUAAAGUACUUUCAGCGAGGAGGCGUUACCCGCAGAAGAAGCACCGGCUAACUCCGUGCCAGCAGCCGCGGUAAUUC